rnacentral:rRNA from 1 species
GAUGAACGCUGGCGGCGUGCCUAAUACAUGCAAGUCGAGCGAACGGACGAGAAGCUUGCUUCUCUGAUGUUAGCGGCGGACGGGUGAGUAACACGUGGAUAACCUACCUAUAAGACUGGGAUAACUUCGGGAAACCGCAGCUAAUACCGGAUAAUAUUUUGAACCGCAUGGUUCAAAAGUGAAAGACGGUCUUGCUGUCACUUAUAGAUGGAUCCGCGCUGCAUUAGCUAGUUGGUAAGGUAACGGCUUACCAAGGCAACGAUGCAUAGCCGACCUGAGAGGGUGAUCGGCCACACUGGAACUGAGACACGGUCCAGACUCCUACGGGAGGCAGCAGUAGGGAAUCUUCCGCAAUGGGCGAAAGCCUGACGGAGCAACGCCGCGCGAGUGAUGAAGGUCUUCGGAUCGUAAAACUCUGUUAUUAGGGAAGAACAUAUGUGUAAGUAACUGUGCACAUCUUGACGGUACCUAAUCAGAAAGCCACGGCUAACUACGUG